rnacentral:rRNA from 1 species
UACGUAGGGGGCGAGCGUUGUCCGGAGUUACUGGGCGUAAAGCGCACGCAGGCGGUCUGCUAAGUUUGGAGUGACAGUUGGUGGCUUAACUGCCAAAGUGCUUCGAAAACUGACAGACUUGAGGGCUUCAGAGGGACACGGAAUUCCGGGUGGAGUGGUGAAAUGCGUAGAGAUCCGGAGGAACAGCCAAAGGCGAAGGCA